AUGUGCCACUGUGUGUAUGUCUUCGGAGGAGGAACCCAGCUAACCGUCCUUGGUCAGCCAAAGGCAUCUCCUACCGUGCACCUCUUCCCUCCAUCCUCGGAAGAAAUAAAAACAAAGAGCAAAGCCACACUGGUUUGUCUGCUGGGCAGCUUUUACCCAGGGUCAGUCCAAGUCACCUGGAAAGCUGAUGGCCAGCAGAUCUCCACUGGAGUGGAGACAACCAAACCCUCCAAACAGAGUGACAACAAGUUCAUGGCCAGCAGUUACCUGUCUCUGGAUGCAUCAAAGUGGAAGACCCAUGAGACCUACACCUGCCAGGUGACACAUGAUGGGAAGAACUUCGAGAAGUCUCUGAAGAGCUCAGAGUGUUCUUAA